UCAUCCCUUUCAUUAAAAUGAGGGAGGUAAUUUAAGAUCAAACACAGAGCUGAAAUAGCCUCUCACUGUUACCAAGAAGACCAUAGGGUGCCGAACCUGCAUUGAGUUUUACUAAUUAGCUCACCUGCCGCAGCUCACCUGCCAGGUGGUUUUCUUAAUUAGUUAAUUGGUUGCAUCUGGUGCGUUUCACUUAAAAGGGAACCGGACAGUACAUUGGUUUGUGUACUGUUUUGUUGUGACUUAUUUAACGUCUCUUCCAGUUUCCCAGGUUAAAGACUUUUUGAAGUAAAGAGGAGCAUCUCAUCUGAACCUGAUGUCUAUCAUGGAUAUUUAACUGCAGUUCUGUGAGUAUCCCAACUUAACCAUGAAGCAUAACUGCAAACUGUAAGUCAUUAAUUUCUCAUUACUCUUGGGCACAUUGAUGUAUUUUGGCUUCCUGGUGUGUGUGAACCUGUUACCUGAAGGUUGAUUUGAGUAUUGAGGAUGUUUUAUUGGUUCAUGGUUUACUUAGGUGUUUGGUUUAUGUUGGUUUUAAUGAUUUGUUAAAAUGGUUACAGGCUCCAAGUUAUUGUUGUAAGCUGGAGUAAUGGGUUGGGUUCUGAUAUCUUCAGUCUUCUUUCAUUCUACUCUCCUGAGCUCUGCAUCUUCAUCACAUGAGUGUUGGUUUACUGGGGAGGGUGUGGUCUGAGUGAGCAGAGGUGCAUACUGGGAUACAGAGCUGUUUGAAGUCUACAGGUCUGUAGACACGCCCCCUCAGGGGAAACCGAGUCUUUGAGAAACUGUCGUGACGUCAGUUACAUGGACUGGAAUGUUCUUAAAGAUGGAGACAGGGAUUCAGAAGGAGAAACACCAGGGGGAGAUGAGGGGGGCUCCUCAUCUCAACGACUAAAACACAACUUCAGUCUGACACAGAACCAUGGAACACAUUCAACAGUCCCCUCCAGGCAUCGUGACGCCUCAGGAACAGUUUCAUUUCCAAGAAGGUCUUAUUUGGGGCCAUCCCCAUAUGGAUCCUGCUCCUCAAGAGCCACCCCCCUCCAUUGGGUGGUCUUCUGAACAGAUGACCUCCUUCCUGUCCUCAGGCUGACUAAAGCUGCACCGUUUGCAUCUGUGAAGGCCCCUCAUUCAGGAAACCACGCAUAAUCCAUCACCAAUGUGGGACGCCACUGAAGAAUAUUGUACAUGAUUUACGUCUCUGGAGACAUUGGUUGUUAUGUUAUGGGUGCCCUUGCAGGAGAGCUGGGGGGGGGAUGAUGGAAUGUUAUUUGGCAUGAGGUUUUUACCCUGCAUGAUUGUUUGGCCUUUUAUGGCUCAGUGGUGUGUGUUUGGGUUUGACAUGAGAUGGAAGAUUUUUGAGCAUCGAUAGGGUUCUACUGUGUGUGUGUGUGUGUGUGUGUGUGUGUCUCCCACUCACACCUGGCAUGGGGUUCUACGUGCCUGUCCUGGGCUCUAUGUGUGUGUGUCCGGCUUGCUUUGACAGUGAUAAUGUUCAUAUGGGGGUCUGUGUGAUUGGAAUGGUCAACUAAAUCAUACCUGAUGGACGGCCACACGUUUACUUAAGAGCCUCCAGUAGACAUGAAGAGCCCUGAGCGACGCUCCGGAGCGAUAUCCAACACACUGGGCAGGAAGGAGAGUAUCCAACUCAAGUGUAAAAGGAUGCAAGCGGCAUGUUCAGAUCCGUGACUUCAAACUAGGACUUCACCAUCAGGAUCAAUGGAGGAUGGACACCAAAAGGAAUUCCACAAGGAGAGUCUGACGUUGGAAAGGGACCUAAAUGGAUAUUCAAGAUGACCUGUAAUGAGACGGCUCUUCCUACCUGGCUGGAUUGAUGGAGAGCCCUGUGGAUCUUGUCUCGCUCUCAGUUGGACGUCUACUCAGGCUGAACUGUAUUUGUUUCGGACAGGACUAGCUGAACGAUUGGUUCCCUUAAAUCAGAACCAAUCCGGGAACUCCAGCUAGUGCGCUCUUCGAGCUGAAGUUGUGCUCUUCAGCUGAGGAGGUAAGGAAACCUUCACUGGGGCUUCAAGGUGUAAAGAGGAGUGUUUCAAAGUGUUCCAUGGUACUCUGAUGAAGACCGUUGUUGUGUUCCACUGGCUGAGAGGAAGAACCCACACAUCUUCCUCUUGGCCUUUCUCCUCCGAGAAUCCUGGCGCCAUCUUGAAGGAUAUACCAGCUCAUGUAACUGAUGUCACGACAGAUUCUCAAACACUUGGUUUCUCCUGAGGGGCGUGUCUAUGGAACUGAAGACUUCAGACAGCACUGUAUCCCAGCAUGCAUCUCUGCUCACUCAGACCACAUCCCCAUGGGUAGGAUGCAACACUCUAGUGAUGGACAUGCAGAGUUUUAUAAGUAACGAGGGAGCAGACUAAGGUGAUUAGAACACAAUGGAAUGUCAAGUCUGUAAAUCUUUAAACCAUGAAGAUGGUUAGAUAGUUCAGGAAUUGGGCUUAUUUUUAUUAUGGCAGUCCUUUCACUCAGAUGCUCACUGGAGCUGUACAUGUGUUGGCUGGCAUGAUUUGCUGUUGGUGAUGAGGCGGUCAGGGUGACGUUGAAGGGCUAUGGUUGGCUCUCUGUGAGCUCAACGUUUAGAUUUGCUCUGUAUGGUUUGUACCCUGAAUAAUCUAGAUAAUUGUAAAAUGUAGACACGGUUUUGUAUUGAAUGAUUUUAGGUUUAAAGUUGUUGUGGGACGUACAUGGUAGUUUGGUCCUUCGUAUGGUUUUGAAUGAUAUAACUUGUACACACUGGGUGCAUAAUAAUGUAAAGGUACACUGAAUAGUAGUAAUGUCCAACAGCAACAAACAGAUCUCCUCAAGGUAAGUCUGUUGGCUGUGUUUUAAUGAGGACCAUCGCUGGACUUCAGGAUCUUCCUCCGUUCAGCUCAAGGUGAGGCGCUGGUUCUGUUUUUUCUUUGGUUGGUUCCGGCCGGAAUGUUCGGAUUCCAGUCGGACGGUUUGUGCUUCCCGCCGUGGAAGGUUCUGAGUGCGGUCACUUGAUUUAGUCCCAAUGGUUAGCAUAGAACGUUGUAGUCUUAACAACCAUAAGAAACCACCUGGCAGUUAGUUGGACGGGCAUCUGGCGGAACGUUCUGGGUUGUAUUUGCGUAACCUCGAGCCGUUGCCAACGGAAACAAUUUUUUCAGUCGGUUCCCAUUGGGAAUUGUUGCCCCUAUCUUAAACAACUUAAGUUUUGAUGUUACUAAUACAUACUGACACGUACGUCUUACAAUAUGUUAAUUUCCGAUCGUUGCGCCGUACUUUUAACCACGAUGACGUGACGGGACUCUCGCUGCGUACAAAACAGCGUUCUACUUGCGGGCCCAUUUUUGACAUCAGGAAAGGCUGAAAAUCAUUUCAAGGUGGAAGAUAAUUUGACAUUUCUUCAACGGAACCCAGCACCUGAAUAUGGCUGAGUAUAUUUGAUUUAAUAUCGAUACUGCUUAGUGUUCUUUGUUACUUCAGCUUUUGUACGUUCUAAAUAUCUGCUGUCAUUAAUUGCCACAGAAGUUAAACCCUACCCAAUGGAAUGACGUUAAACAACGACUUUGGUGCAGAGUUACCAACUGGAUAAUAUCAAAGCUAAAAUGAUGGCCGUCAUUCCCACAUGUUACAGUAGAAGAUACUCUAGAACUGUACAAGGUUAAAAAGGUAACAUGUAGUUUGUCCCAAGGUGUCUGCCUCCUCACCCAGAGCAAGACCUCCACCUCCUCACCCAGAGCCAGGACUCCACCUCCUCACCCAGAGCCAGACCUCCACCUCCUGUCAGAAGUCCUCCAAAACAGCUGAAAGGCGAGGCUGAGAGGCUGGGGACCGGAGGCUUGUGGUGCCAGGGUGGACCGGAGACUGAGGCUGGAGACCAGGGGCCUGCAGCACCGGACCAGAGGACCGGGAAUCCAUGGCUGAAGGAGCUGAUGGAGGAGCCGUGCUGAUGGAGGAGCCGUGCUGAUGGAGGAGCCGUGCUGAUGGAGGAGCCGUGCUGAUGGAGGAGCCGUGCUGAUGGAGGAGCCGUGCUGAUGGAGGAGCCGUGCUGAAGGCCCUGCCUUGUGGAGGAGCUGGUGGAGGCCCUGCCUGGUGAAGGACGUCUGUCGUGGGGUUGAUGGAGCUUGACUCUGAAGUGAUCAACGCACUCACUGACACUUCUCGUAGAAUACUGCUAACACAAACUACCGGCGUUUGUACAAUAUAUACCAGACGACUACAUCUGUUUUACCACAUGUUGAAGCAAGCCUUCCGCUGUUUGUUCCAGACCAGGACUCUGUCUGAGGAGAGCUGCUGGAGGAGGUGAGAUGCUGGAGGACGACUAGGAAUCGACCAACAAGGAUUCCUCAACGUGUUUCUGGAGCGGAGGCGAGCUGGUAGGGGAGCCGUGAAUCUGGAGGAUGACCAUCACUCUACCAACAAGGAUUACUUUAGGGCCAGACUCGCGCUGUUUGUUCCAGACCAGGACUCUGGCUGAGGAGAGCUGAUGGAGGAGCCAAGGCUCUGGAGGACGACAUCACUCCACCAACCAGGAUCCUUACCAGGAAUCUGGAGGACUGAUGGAGAAGGUGGAAGGCAAAUCCUGAGGACCACCAGGACUCUACCAUCAAGGAUUCCUCAUAAGUUUGCAUUAUCUGGACAUAGUGGACUAGACACACCUGAGCUGAACCCGCCCUGAUCCUGACAUCAUGCUGGUCCCGUCUCCUCAGUUCAUCUGAGCCUCGUCCUCCAGAAGACCUGCUGAGCUCAGCAGUCUGAGGCUGAUGGAUCAAUGACCUCCAGUGGGAGUGAUCUUCCUGACCCCACAUGUAACCGUGUGCUUCCACACGCCUUUCCCUCACGUCUGUCACUAACCUCACUACUUCACUACUCUCUACUGCUUCCUCUUUUCUUCCUUCUCUGUGGUUCGAACCUUUACACGGAAGGCGCGUCUUCCUGCCCUCAGAGGGUUCAGCGUUAGGGUUGAGAGUCAGGGUUUAGAGUCAGGGACAGAGCUGGUCAGGGAGGACUGCUUUUACGCAAACCUCUUCACUUGCUUUCGGAAUGGUGGUGACAUUUUGAAAAGUUUCAUUUGGGAAAAUGUUUUCCUCUGCUUUCCUUUACAAAAUUGUAAUAAACUUCUGUCAAGUGUUUUUGUGUGUAUAUAUUAAAAUCCCACAUUGACUUCUACAUGUUUGGUGCGGUUCAUUUAAUUGUCCUUUAACUUGGUUAAUGUCAAGCUAGACUCCUGCAAUACAUUUAAUAU
ensembl:lncRNA